rnacentral:lncRNA from 1 species
GAUGCUGUAUCUUUUCAAGUGAAGUACAGUUGAUAUUGAAAGGUUGUUAUUUGGAUAGUUGUGGUAGUCAUUUCGUGGGAGACAAUACUGCUCGCAAGGAUUUAAUGGCUAAAUAUUGGUAGCCUAAAAUGUUUUGUAAUGCACACCAAUUUUUUCGUCAUUGUGAUCUCUAUCAAAAUUGGUUUGAUCAAGAUAAAUCCUAAAUCAAAUCUUAAUCAAAUCUUAACUAAAUCUUAAACUUUAAAUCAAAUCCUAAAUCCUAAAUCCUAAAUCAAACCUUAACCAACCUCUAAACUCUAAACCAAAUCUUAAUCCUAAAUCAAAUCCUAACCCUAAAUCAAAUCCUUACCAAAUCCUAAUCCUAAAUCAAAUCCUAAUCACUCCCUAAAUCAAAUCCUAAAUCCUAAACCAAAUCCUAAUCCUAAAUCAAAUCUUAACCAAAUUCUAAAUCAAAUCCUAAUCCUAAAUCAAAUCCUAACUAAAUUCUAAAUCUAAUUCUAAAUCCUAAGCUAAAUCCUAACCAAAUCCUAAUCCUAAAUCAAAUCCUAACCAAACCCUAAAUCCUAAAUUGAAUCCUAAUCCUAAAUCAAAUCCUAAUCAAAUCUUAAAUCCUAAAUCAAAUCCUAAUCCUAAAUUAAAUCCUAACCAAACUCUAAUUUAUUCUAAACCCUAAACCAAAUCCUAACCAAAUCCUAAUCUUAAAUCAAAUCCUAAUCAAACCCUAGUAAUUUCUAUAACAGAUUUAAACCUCAAUAACUAAUAAAUGAACCAUUGAUCUUAACUCAAAUUUUUUACACUUUUUAAAAACUAAGUUGAAAAUAAGCACAAAAAUUUUGAAAAA